CUGCGGAGGGAUCAUUACACAAUAACAAGGCGGGCUGGACACCCCCAGCCGGGCACUGCUUCACCGCGUGCGCGGCUGGGCCGGCCCUGCUGAAUUAUUCACCCGUGUCUUUUGCGUACUUCUUGUUUCCUGGGUGGGCUCGCCCGCCAUCAGGACCAACCACAAACCUUUUGCAAUAGCAAUCAGCGUCAGUAACAACGUAAUUAAUUACAACUUUCAACAACGGAUCUCUUGGUUCUGGCAUCGAUGAAGAACGCAGCGAAAUGCGAUACGUAGUGUGAAUUGCAGAAUUCAGUGAAUCAUCGAAUCUUUGAACGCACAUUGCGCCCUUUGGUAUUCCAAAGGGCAUGCCUGUUCGAGCGUCAUUUGUACCCUCAAGCUUUGCUUGGUGUUGGGCGUCUUUUGUCUCCAGUUCGCUGGAGACUCGCCUUAAAGUCAUUGGCAGCCGGCCUACUGGUUUCGGAGCGCAGCACAAGUCGCGCUCUUUGCCAGCCAAGGUCAGCGUCCAGCAAGCCUUUUUUCAACCUUUGACCUCGGAUCAGGUAGGGAUACCCGCUGAACUUAAGCAUAUCAAUAAGCGGAGGA
rnacentral:rRNA from 1 species